rnacentral:rRNA from 1 species
UACGUAGGGGGCAAGCGUUGUCCGGAUUUAUUGGGCGUAAAGAGCGUGUAGGCGGUCCGGUAAGUCAGCUGUGAAAUUCCUGGGCUCAACCUGGGGGCUGCGUUUGAUACGUGCGGACUUGAGUGCGGAAGAGGGUCGUGGAAUUCCCAGUGUAGAGGUGAAAUUCGUAGAUAUUGGGAAGAACACCGGUGGCGAAGGCGGCGACCUGGUCCGAUACUGACGCUGAGGCGCGAAAGCGUGGGGAGCAAACAGG